GCGCGCGCAGGUGGUUUCUUAAGUCUGAUGUGAAAGCCCACGCCUCAACCGUGGAGGGUCAUUGGAAACUGGGAGACUUGAGUGCCGAAGAGGAAAGUGGAAUUCCAUGUGUAGCGGUGAAAUGCGUAGAGAUAUGGAGGAACACCAGUGGCGAAGGCGACUUUCUGGUCUGUAACUGACACUGAGGCGCGAAAGCGUGGGGAGCAAACAGGAUUAGAUACCCUGGUAGUCCACGCCGUAAACGAUGAGUGCUAAGUGUUAGAGGGCUUCCGCCCUU
rnacentral:rRNA from 1 species